rnacentral:rRNA from 1 species
AUUGAACGCUGGCGGCAUGCUUUACACAUGCAAGUCGAACGGUAACAGGGAGCUUGCUCCGCUGACGAGUGGCGAACGGGUGAGUAAUGCGUCGGAACGUGCCGAGUAGUGGGGGAUAACGCAUCGAAAGGUGUGCUAAUACCGCAUACGUACUGAGGUAGAAAGUGGGGGACCUUCGGGCCUCACGCUAUUCGAGCGGCCGACGUCUGAUUAGCUAGUUGGUGAGGUAAAGGCUCACCAAGGCGACGAUCAGUAGCGGGGCUGAGAGGAUGGCCCGCCACACUGGGACUGGGACACGGGCCAGACUCCUACGGGAGGCAGCAGUGGGGAAUUUUGGACAAUGGGCGCAAGCCUGAUCCAGCGAUGCCGCGUGUCUGAAGAAGGCCUUCGGGUUGUAAAGGACUUUUGUCCGGGAGCAAAUGCCUGGUGUUAAUAGCACUGGGAGCUGAGAGUACCGGAAGAAUAAGCACCGGCUAACUACGUGCCAGCAGCCGCCGUAAUAC